GUGGAAGCUGAAUCUCUUACUGACAGUAGUCCUUUGCCUGAAGAAGACUACGAGGAUGACUCGCCGUUGACCAAGGACUUGGAGCAUCAAGAGAGUAACGGCAGCUGUAGCUAUCGACCUACAAAUAGCAUUCGUGAAAUCGAUCUAAUGCCUUCGGAUGCAAUUUACGAUCUCCGAUGCAUCGCCGAGCGAAUGAUUUUGGCCGGAUAUCUUCGGGAGUGUAUUCAGGUGUAUGGCAGUGUACGGAAGUCUGCAGUGGACUCGAGUUUCCGCAAACUUGGGAUAGAGAAGCUGAGCAUCGGAGAUAUCCAGAGAUUAGAAUGGGAAAUUCUAGAAACGAAGAUCCGGCGGUGGAUACGAGCUGCAAAA
rnacentral:misc_RNA from 1 species